UACAGAGGGUGCGAGCGUUGUUCGGAAUUAUUGGGCGUAAAGGGCGCGUAGGCGGUGCCACAAGUCACCUGUGAAAUCCCCGGGCUUAACUCGGGGCCUGCAGGCGAAACUGUGGUGCUGGAGUAUGGGAGAGGUGCGUGGAAUUCCCGGUGUAGCGGUGAAAUUCGUAGAUAUCGGGAGGAACACCAGUGGCGAAGGCGGCGACCUGGGCCAAUAUUGACGCUGAGGUGCGAAAGCGUGGGGAGCAAACAGG
rnacentral:rRNA from 1 species